GGUCACCACGGGAGGAGCCACGGGGGUGUCAUGCAGCUGCUUAGGCUUUAGCCUGAAAUUAAUGCUGAUGAGGUUCACCUGGGGAGCCAUCUUCUGGAAUGUGGAAAAAGCCACAGGCUUCCUCUUAAAAAGCACAGGCAAAAAGCUACAGGUAUUUUCAGCCAGACGUCAUUUUUAAUCGAGAGUUUCCCUUUGCUGCCUCACUGGGGAAUGAAGGUAACUGUCAGGAGUUUUCCACAGUGAGCAGUUCCUGGCAUUGUGUUUUGCUCCCCGUGGUGCCCUCCAGAGCCCCUCUCCCUGCAGGGGUUGAGCCAGGACAUGGGUCAAGCAGCGA